GAUGAACGCUGGCGGCGUGCCUAAUACAUGCAAGUCGAGCGAACGGACGAGAAGCUUGCUCCUCUGAUGUUAGCGGCGGACGGGUGAGUAACACGUGGAUAACCUACCUAUAAGACUGGGAUAACUUCGGGAAACCGUAGCUAAUACCGGAUAAUAUUUUGAACCGCAUGGUUCAAAAGUGAAAGACGGUCUUGCUGUCACUUAUAGAUGGAUCCGCGCUGCAUUAGCUAGUUGGUAAGGUAACGGCUUACCAAGGCAACGAUGCAUAGCCGACCUGAGAGGGUGAUCGGCCACACUGGAACUGAGACACGGUCCAGACUCCUACGGGAGGCAGCAGUAGGGAAUCUUCCGCAAUGGGCGAAAGCCUGACGGAGCAACGCCGCGUGAGUGAUGAAGGUCUUCGGAUCGUAAAACUCUGUUAUUAGGGAAGAACAUAUGUGUAAGUAACUGUGCACGUCUUGACGGUACCUAAUCAGAAAGCCACGGCUAACUACGUG
rnacentral:rRNA from 1 species